GGGGGGGGGGGGGGGGGGGGGGGGGGGGGGGGGGGGGGGGGGGGGGGGGUGGUGCGGGGGCGGGCGGGGGGAGCAGCGGACGGGUGGGUAACGCGGGGGGAAUCUGCCUGUGAGCGGGGGACAACAUGUGGGAACGAAUGCUAAUACCGCAUAAAAACUUUAAACACAAGUGUUAAGGUUGAAAGAGGCAAUUGCAUCACUCAAAGAUGAUCCCGCGUUGUAUUAGCUAGUUGGUGAGGUAAAGGCUCACCAAGGCGAUGAUACAUAGCCGACCGGGGAGGGGUAUCGGCCACAUUGGGACUGAGACACGGCCCAAACUCCUACGGGAGGCAGCAGUAGGGAAUCUUCGGCAAUGGACGAAAGUCUGACCGAGCAACGCCGCGUGAGUGAAGAAGGUUCUCGGACCGUAAAAAUCUGUUGGUAGAGAAGAACGUGGGUGAGAGUGGAAAGCUCAUCAAGUGACGGUAACUACCCAGAAAGGGACGGCUAACUACGUG
rnacentral:rRNA from 1 species